UGGGGAAUUUUGGACAAUGGGCGAAAGCCUGAUCCAGCAAUGCCGCGUGUGUGAAGAAGGCCUUCGGGUUGUAAAGCACUUUUGUCCGGAAAGAAAUCCUUGGCUCUAAUACAGUCGGGGGAUGACGGUACCGGAAGAAUAAGCACCGGCUAACUACGUGCCAGCAGCCGCGGUAAUACGUAGGGUGCAAGCGUUAAUCGGAAUUACUGGGCGUAAAGCGUGCGCAGGCGGUUUGCUAAGACCGAUGUGAAAUCCCCGGGCUCAACCUGGGAACUGCAUUGGUGACUGGCAGGCUAGAGUAUGGCAGAGGGGGGUAGAAUUCCACGUGUAGCAGUGAAAUGCGUAGAGAUGUGGAGGAAUACCGAUGGCGAAGGCAGCCCCCUGGGCCAAUACUGACGCUCAUGCACGAAAGCGUGGGGAGCAAACAGGAUUCAGAUACCCUGGUAGUCCACGCCCUAAACGAUGUCAACUAGUUGUUGGGGAUUCAUUUCCUUAGUAACGUAGCUAACGCGUGAAGUUGACCGCCUGGGGAGUACGGUCG
rnacentral:rRNA from 1 species